AGCAGGCAAACAACAGACGAUACAGGACAUUCCUACUUGGUCUUGUGUCAAAGUUGUGCAGAGUUGAAGGAAGAAACCUCAAAGACAGUGCCAGAAGGAUGCUGGACAGGGUGUUAAAAAAAUUCCCUCAUGUCCAAAUUCAAUAUGAAGGGGGGUGGUCCACUGCAGAAAGAGGCAUUUGAAAAGACUGCA